CCGCGGUUAUACGAGAGACUCCAGUUGAUAGCUACGGCGUAAAGAGUGGUUAAGAAAAUAUAUUAAAUAAAGCCAAAGGUUCCCUAAGCCGUCUCACGCACUCCGGAAAUACGAAGCCCAAAUACGAAAGUAGCUUUACCUCCUGCUAUGCUGACCCCACGAAAGCUAAGAAACAAA
rnacentral:rRNA from 1 species